rnacentral:rRNA from 1 species
AGGAUGAACGCUGGCGGCGUGCCUAAUACAUGCAAGUCGAGCGGUAAGGCCCCUUCGGGGGUACACGAGCGGCGGACGGCUGAGUAACACGUAGGAACGUACCCCAAAGUGAGGGAUAAGCACCAGAAAUGGUGUCUAAUACCGCAUGUGGCCCUUCGGGCUAAAGCUUUAUGCGCUUUGGGAGCGGCCUGCGCAUGAUUAGCUUGUUGGUGAGGUAAUAGCUCACCAAGGCGAUGAUCAUUAGCGUGGUCUGGAGAGGAUGAUCGAGCCAGACGUGGGACUGAGACCGACCGGCCCAGACCUACCGUACGGGAGGCAGCGAGGUAGGUAA